UUUGCCACUGACCAGUGGGUCUCCUAGGUCAGUCCAUCAGCGUCAUCUCCAAGGGACACACGCCGCCUCCUGCCCGGUUGUCCCUUCAUCUUUCUCCUCCUCCACUCCAUUACCUCACUCCUCACUCCUUUUCUCCCUCCCUGGAUCCCCUUUCUCGUCAAGCUCGCCGGGGAUGCCGCCGCUCGCCGUUGCAACGCCAGCUGCAGGGGCCGGCAGGAUCCGCCAGCCGUCGGUCCGGAUCGACGUCCACGCCUCCGGCUCCGACAUGCAUGCCCGCUAGACGCCGCCGUGAAUCACCUCGUUUCUCCGGAACCUCUUGAACCAAGGCCACCUUUCUUGGUUCCGUCGGCCGCCGUUGCGACCCCGCCGCGGUCAUCGUCCUCCCCGAGCAGCUACAGGGACCAUGAAGGGGUCCACGUCUGGACCACGGACUCGAAGCCACGGGUCCCUCCUACAGCUUCCUCGACCGCUGACCGCCAUUGACGCCGUCCGAAACUCGCUGUUGUCCGUCCUCUCGCCUCCCUGAUCUGUCCGACUCGGCCGCAACGAACAGUAAGGUCCACCUCCUUCUGUAUGACGCACGAGUUGUUGCAGUGAGGAUACAAAGCAGUCUACCACCGGUGAGCUUCCAUGAUAUGGAUAAAACACCUUUUAGAAAUAGCAAUCUGAUGUGGAUAUCUUCAGGAAUCAAGAAGCGAAUGAGAUAAGGCAAGUGGACUUCUCAUUUGGUCACAUGAUAUGGCAACUGCAUCAAAGUAAAUAUUUUCGUCAGGAUUUAUUGCCUAAAUGUGUUUGUGUAAAAACACAAGAAUGCAUUUUUCUUCAUCAUUCUGAUGGUAAAAGAAAAUAUGUCGAACAAUUGUUUAUCGUGUAUACACCUAAACUAUUUUGGCGCAAUGCACCUGCUACUUGCUUAUUCCUCACCAUGGCUUGUUCUUUCUUGCGAAAACUUGUUUUCUAUUUUGCUUGCGUGUGUAAAUCUACUUUGCAGGCCGUCUAGAUAAUGUUUCCCGUGGUGUGUAAAUCCGACAUUGUUGUUCUUUGUCCCUUCUUAUAUUACUCUAGAUUAGAAUA